UUAUCUAACCCUCUUCAGGCUGAAGACAAAAAGAUAAGACUAAGGAGGAACAUGCUGCGUAAAACAUUGUGGGAUUAGUGAGCAUCUGGGCAUCUUAAAUUUUGACUGGCAAUUGACUCUAACUUCAACAGACGAAGAUCCACCCUUCAUCCAGCUCUCCAGGAAUAACAGUAAUUGGAGGUAGAAUAAAGCAUUAGUCACAGACAGCUCCUGCUUAGGCUCUGAAACCUGUAAGGCAUCUGGAGAAUGCUGGAGUCUGGCUUCCUUGAACUGAGAACAUCAAAGGCAAUGAGAAAGACUGAGAGGAUUAGGGGAGGAAUUGCUGGCCACGUGGGAAGUUUAUCAUUCUCAAGACCUGCUGCACUCUUUUCCCAACUGGCUGCACUGUUUUAAAACCCCACGUGCAGAGUAUGAGCCUUCCAGUCUCCUCAUCCUCGUCCAUGGUUGUUACUAUCUGUCCUUUUAUUGCCGCCACCCUAGAAGGAUGUGACAUGUCCUUGUGAUUUUGAUUGGCAUUCCCCUGGCGAUUAAUAACUUGAGCAUCUUUUCUCAUGUUUAACACUUUAUUUAUUUUACGUGUUUGUAUGUGGUAUGUGUGUAUGUGAGAGAGAGUGUGUGUGUGUGUGUGUGUGCGUGAGAGAGAGAGAGAGAGAGAGAGAGAGAGACUCCAGUUCUCUCCUUCUGUCAUGUGAGCAGGGUCCUGAGACUAGAACCCAGUCAUCGGGUGCCUUUACCCUCUCAGCCGUCUCACCAACUCAAGCCCCUUGUAUAUUUUUUCUUUAAAGAGAUGUCUAUUGGGGUUAUCAAUCAUUUCAUUGUUAAGCUGUAAAAGUGAAUCUUCAUAUGUUCUAGAUACAAGUCCCUGUUUAGAAAUAAUUCGCAAAUACUUUUUCCUAUUCCGAGGACUGUUUCCUCAACUGUUCUCUACCUCAAUAAUUGCAGGCAGACAUGGUGCUGGAGAAGUAGCUGAAAGUUCUACAUCCAGAUCUGCAGACAGGACAGUCACAAUAUGGCUGCCUUUCUCCAUGUGGCACAG
rnacentral:lncRNA from 1 species